rnacentral:rRNA from 1 species
UGGGGGAUAUUGCACAAUGGGCGAAAGCCUGAUGCAGCGACGCCGCGUGGGGGAUGAAGGCUUUCGGGUUGUAAACCUCUUUCGCUAUCGAACAAGGCCCGCUUAGGGUGGGUUGAGGGUAGGUGGAGAAGAAGCGCCGGCUAACUACGUGCCAGCAGCCGCGGUAAUACGUAGGGCGCGAGCGUUGUCCGGAAUUAUUGGGCGUAAAGGGCUUGUAGGCGGCUUGUUGCGCCUGCUGUGAAAACGCGGGGCUUAACCUCGCGCGUGCAGUGGGUACGGGCAGGCUUGAGUGUGGUAGGGGUGACUGGAAUUCCAGGUGUAGCGGUGGAAUGCGCAGAUAUCUGGAGGAACACCGAUGGCGAAGGCAGGUCACUGGGCCAUUACUGACGCUGAGGAGCGAAAGCAUGGGUAGCGAACAGG